rnacentral:lncRNA from 1 species
UAUCAUUCUUUCAUUAUUAUUACUUUAUUUAUUUACUUACUUGUUUAAAUUGUAGAUUUGUUUCAUUUUGAUGCGAAUAUAGUAAUAGGUUUAUGUGCCAAACAAAUACUAGUACAAUUGUUAUUGGCUACAUGUAUAGAAAUGUUAUCAUUUUGAUUAAUGAUUAAACUCAGAUUCAACCCCCUACGAAUCGGUUAUGAGAUCAUGGUGGUGUAUAGCAAUAGUAAAAAGUGAUGUAUGUAUGGAUCAAAGUCCAAGUCAAGGAAAAAAAUAUUCAAAUGAAUAACAAUUGUGUCAGGAAAUUUUCAAAACAGUGAUGUAUGUAUGAUUAAGCAAAAUAAAUUUUCUUAUUGUUCAAAGUUCAAAUCGAGAACUUAAUUUGGGAUUGCUCGUGGUUGUUGUUACUUACAAGAAAGUUUAUGCUUAAUUAUUAGUAAUUAGUGUUUUCCCAGUUGUCAUAAUAGAUCAUGAAUGGACCAUAUAAUCGUUCAAAUGUGUGUUUUCACGAACGCAUGUGAACGCAAUAAAGAAAUGACACUGCUUGCUUGCUUGGUUGGUGGUGAGUUAGGCUGCUUUUUGUCAUUUUCUUAUGCAUUUGUCUGCCAUUGCAUUUUCUAAUCAAUUUCCUUGUCGUUUCCAUAUUUCCUUAUGUUACCAAAAAAAUAUGAAUUUCCUUGUUGUUUCCAUUUACACAAUUCAAUUUUCUCAAAUCAUCAACAUAACCGACUUGAAUUCUAUGUACUGUAGUCGAAAGGCGUUGCAGUCGUUAAGUCAAUAAAUUUUAGGCUGUUCUUUCAAAAUUUUAUAUUAAAGCAAAAAUAAAAUAUGUUUUAAGACAUGAAUCGUUUGAUUGACUCUUCUGAAUCACCAGCUACAUGCAGUUCGACUGCAUUCAAUCCAACUCUCAACAUAACACUAAUUCAAUGCAUUUGAAAAAAUUUCCUCAAUUAAUUCGUUUAGAAGUGAUUAAUUUCAAAGAAUUUGUAGAUUAAAAUACAUAAAAUAAACUUUUUCUUUCCAAUCAAAUUUUUUCAUCUACAAGAGUCAGAGAUCUAACUCAUGGCUAGUGGUCAAUUUUUAGAAACCUUGAGUCAUAACAUAAGCAUACACAUAAAUAUUUAAUUUGUAUGCAUCAAGAGAAUAUUUUUUUUACACAUCAAAGGUUUGGUGUCUAUGUGUCCUAUUCGUAACGACCCCGGCCUUGCGUCAGGAAAAGUGACAUACAAGAUUAACUUUGACAUCGCUCCUACAACAUUAAUGCAUUUCAC